rnacentral:rRNA from 1 species
CCUACGGGUGGCAGCAGUAGGGAAUAUUGCUCAAUGGGGGAAACUCUGAAGCAGCAACGCCGCGUGGAGGAUGAAGGUUUUCUGAUUUUAAACUCUUUUUUAUAUAGGAGUUAAUGACGGUAUCUAACGAAUAAUCACCGGCUAACUCCGUGCCAGCAGCCGCGGUAAUAUGGAGGGUGCAAGCGUUACUCGGAUUCACUGGGCGUAAAGCGCGCGUAUGCGGGAUAGCAAGUCAGAUGUGAAAUCCUAUGGCUUAACCAUAGAACUGCAUUUGAAACUGUUAUUCUAGAGUAUGGGAGAGGUAGGUGGAAUUCUUGGUGUAGCGGUGAAAUGCGUAGAGAUCAAGAGGAACACUCAUUGCGAAGGCGACCUGCUAGACCAUAACUGACGCUGAUGCGCGAAAGCGUGGGGAGCAAACAGGAUUAGAUACCCCUGUAGUC